rnacentral:rRNA from 1 species
AGCCAUGUCAGUACGGCGAGUGAGCGGCACAGCUCAAUUUGAAAUCUGGCCCCCAGGGCCCGAGUUGUAAUUUGCAGAGGAUGCUUUUGGCGCGGUGCCUUCCGAGUUCCCUGGAACGGGACGCCAUAGAGGGUGAGAGCCCCGUCUGGUCGGACGCCUAGCCUGUGUAAAGCUCCUUCGACGAGUCGAGUAGUUUGGGAAUGCUGCUCUAAAUGGGAGGUAUAUGUCUUCUAAAGCUAAAUACCGGCCAGAGACCGAUAGCGCACAAGUAGAGUGAUCGAAAGAUGAAAAGCACUUUGAAAAGAGGGUUAAAUAGUACGUGAAAUUGUUGAAAGGGAAGCGCUUGUGACCAGACUUGGGCCCGGUGGAUCAUCCAGCGUUCUCGCUGGUGCACUCCGCCGGGUUCAGGCCAGCAUCAGUUCGCCGCGGGGGAAAAAGGCUUCGGGAACGUGGCUCCUACGGGAGUGUUAUAGCCCGUUGCAUAAUACCCUGGGGCGGACUGAGGUUCGCGCUCCGCAAGGAUGCUGGCGUAAUGGUCAUCAGCGACCCGUCUUGACCCACACGGACCCGA